ACCGCGGUAGCGCAGUUGGUUAGGGCGUCAACAGUACUGAAGGUCGCAGGUUCAAAUCCUGCCAGCGGUG